CCUACGGGCGGCAGCAGUGAGGAAUAUUGGUCAAUGGACGAGAGUCUGAACCAGCCAAGUAGCGUGAAGGAUGACUGCCCUAUGGGUUGUAAACUUCUUUUAUAUGGGAAUAAAAUGUUCCACGUGUGGGAUUCUGUAUGUACCAUAUGAAUAAGGAUCGGCCAACUCCGGGCCAACAGCCGCGGUAAUACGGGGGGUCCGAGCGUUAUCCGGAUUUGUUUGGUUUAAAGGGAGCGGAGGGGGAUUGGUAAGUCAGUUGUGAAAGUUUGCGGGUCAACCGUAAUAUUGCAGUUGAAACUGGCAGUCUUGAGUACAGGAGAGGUGGGCGGAAUUCGUGGUGUAGCGGUGAAAUGCUUAGAUAUCACGAAGAACUCCGAUUGCGAAGGCAGCUCACUGGACUGCAACUGACACUGAGGCUCGAAAGUGUGGGUAUCAAACAGGAUUAGAUACCCCAGUAGUC
rnacentral:rRNA from 1 species